GAUGAACGCUGGCGGCGUGCCUAAUACAUGCAAGUCGAGCGAACAGACGAGGAGCUUGCUCCUCUGACGUUAGCGGCGGACGGGUGAGUAACACGUGGAUAACCUACCUAUAAGACUGGGAUAACUUCGGGAAACCGGAGCUAAUACCGGAUAAUAUAUUGAACCGCAUGGUUCAAUAGUGAAAGGCGGUUUUGCUGUCACUUAUAGAUGGAUCCGCGCCGCAUUAGCUAGUUGGUAAGGUAACGGCUUACCAAGGCAACGAUGCGUAGCCGACCUGAGAGGGUGAUCGGCCACACUGGAACUGAGACACGGUCCAGACUCCUACGGGAGGCAGCAGUAGGGAAUCUUCCGCAAUGGGCGAAAGCCUGACGGAGCAACGCCGCGUUAGUGAUGAAGGUCUUCGGAUCGUAAAACUCUGUUAUUAGGGAAGAACAAAUGUGUAAGUAACUAUGCACGUCUUGACGGUACCUAAUCAGAAAGCCACGGCUAACUACGUG
rnacentral:rRNA from 1 species